rnacentral:rRNA from 1 species
GGUUAAGCGACUAAGCGUACACGGUGGAUGCCCUGGCAGUCAGAGGCGAUGAAGGACGUGCUAAUCUGCGAUAAGCGUCGGUAAGGUGAUAUGAACCGUUAUAACCGGCGAUUUCCGAAUGGGGAAACCCAGUGUGAUUCGUCACACUAUCAUUAACUGAAUCCAUAGGUUAAUGAGGCGAACCGGGGGAACUGAAACAUCUAAGUACCCCGAGGAAAAGAAAUCAACCGAGAUUCCCCCAGUAGCGGCGAGCGAACGGGGAGCAGCCCAGAGCCUGAAUCAGUGUGUGUGUUAGUGGAAGCGUCUGGAAAGGCGCGCGAUACAGGGUGACAGCCCCGUACACAAAAAUGCACAUGCUGUGAGCUCGAUGAGUAGGGCGGGACACGUGGUAUCCUGUCUGAAUAUGGGGGGACCAUCCUCCAAGGCUAAAUACUCCUGACUGACCGAUAGUGAACCAGUACCGUGAGGGAAAGGCGAAAAGAACCCCGGCGAGGGGAGUGAAAAAGAACCUGAAACCGUGUACGUACAAGCAGUGGGAGCACGCUUAGGCGUGUGACUGCGUACCUUUUGUAUAAUGGGUCAGCGACUUAUAUUCUGUAGCAAGGUUAACCGAAUAGGGGAGCCGAAGGGAAACCGAGUCUUAACUGGGCGUUAAGUUGCAGGGUAUAGACCCGAAACCCGGUGAUCUAGCCAUGGGCAGGUUGAAGGUUGGGUAACACUAACUGGAGGACCGAACCGACUAAUGUUGAAAAAUUAGCGGAUGACUUGUGGCUGGGGGUGAAAGGCCAAUCAAACCGGGAGAUAGCUGGUUCUCCCCGAAAGCUAUUUAGGUAGCGCCUCGUGAAUUCAUCUCCGGGGGUAGAGCACUGUUUCGGCAAGGGGGUCAUCCCGACUUACCAACCCGAUGCAAACUGCGAAUACCGGAGAAUGUUAUCACGGGAGACACACGGCGGGUGCUAACGUCCGUCGUGAAGAGGGAAACAACCCAGACCGCCAGCUAAGGUCCCAAAGUCAUGGUUAAGUGGGAAACGAUGUGGGAAGGCCCAGACAGCCAGGAUGUUGGCUUAGAAGCAGCCAUCAUUUAAAGAAAGCGUAAUAGCUCACUGGUCGAGUCGGCCUGCGCGGAAGAUGUAACGGGGCUAAACCAUGCACCGAAGCUGCGGCAGCGACGCUUAUGCGUUGUUGGGUAGGGGAGCGUUCUGUAAGCCUGCGAAGGUGUGCUGUGAGGCAUGCUGGAGGUAUCAGAAGUGCGAAUGCUGACAUAAGUAACGAUAAAGCGGGUGAAAAGCCCGCUCGCCGGAAGACCAAGGGUUCCUGUCCAACGUUAAUCGGGGCAGGGUGAGUCGACCCCUAAGGCGAGGCCGAAAGGCGUAGUCGAUGGGAAACAGGUUAAUAUUCCUGUACUUGGUGUUACUGCGAAGGGGGGACGGAGAAGGCUAUGUUGGCCGGGCGACGGUUGUCCCGGUUUAAGCGUGUAGGCUGGUUUUCCAGGCAAAUCCGGAAAAUCAAGGCUGAGGCGUGAUGACGAGGCACUACGGUGCUGAAGCAACAAAUGCCCUGCUUCCAGGAAAAGCCUCUAAGCAUCAGGUAACAUCAAAUCGUACCCCAAACCGACACAGGUGGUCAGGUAGAGAAUACCAAGGCGCUUGAGAGAACUCGGGUGAAGGAACUAGGCAAAAUGGUGCCGUAACUUCGGGAGAAGGCACGCUGAUAUGUAGGUGAAGUCCCUUGCGGAUGGAGCUGAAAUCAGUCGAAGAUACCAGCUGGCUGCAACUGUUUAUUAAAAACACAGCACUGUGCAAACACGAAAGUGGACGUAUACGGUGUGACGCCUGCCCGGUGCCGGAAGGUUAAUUGAUGGGGUUAGCGGUAACGCGAAGCUCUUGAUCGAAGCCCCGGUAAACGGCGGCCGUAACUAUAACGGUCCUAAGGUAGCGAAAUUCCUUGUCGGGUAAGUUCCGACCUGCACGAAUGGCGUAAUGAUGGCCAGGCUGUCUCCACCCGAGACUCAGUGAAAUUGAACUCGCUGUGAAGAUGCAGUGUACCCGCGGCAAGACGGAAAGACCCCGUGAACCUUUACUAUAGCUUGACACUGAACAUUGAGCCUUGAUGUGUAGGAUAGGUGGGAGGCUUUGAAGUGUGGACGCCAGUCUGCAUGGAGCCGACCUUGAAAUACCACCCUUUAAUGUUUGAUGUUCUAACGUUGACCCGUGAUCCGGGUUGCGGACAGUGUCUGGUGGGUAGUUUGACUGGGGCGGUCUCCUCCUAAAGAGUAACGGAGGAGCACGAAGGUUGGCUAAUCCUGGUCGGACAUCAGGAGGUUAGUGCAAUGGCAUAAGCCAGCUUGACUGCGAGCGUGACGGCGCGAGCAGGUGCGAAAGCAGGUCAUAGUGAUCCGGUGGUUCUGAAUGGAAGGGCCAUCGCUCAACGGAUAAAAGGUACUCCGGGGAUAACAGGCUGAUACCGCCCAAGAGUUCAUAUCGACGGCGGUGUUUGGCACCUCGAUGUCGGCUCAUCACAUCCUGGGGCUGAAGUAGGUCCCAAGGGUAUGGCUGUUCGCCAUUUAAAGUGGUACGCGAGCUGGGUUUAGAACGUCGUGAGACAGUUCGGUCCCUAUCUGCCGUGGGCGCUGGAGAACUGAGGGGGGCUGCUCCUAGUACGAGAGGACCGGAGUGGACGCAUCACUGGUGUUCGGGUUGUCAUGCCAAUGGCACUGCCCGGUAGCUAAAUGCGGAAGAGAUAAGUGCUGAAAGCAUCUAAGCACGAAACUUGCCCCGAGAUGAGUUCUCCCUGACCCUUUAAGGGUCCUGAAGGAACGUUGAAGACGACGACGUUGAUAGGCCGGGUGUGUAAGCGCAGCGAUGCGUUGAGCUAACCGGUACUAAUGAACCGUGAGGCUUAACCUU